rnacentral:tRNA from 1 species
GCGGGGUUGCCCUAGCCUGGUAGGGGGCAGAAUAGAGCCUAAGCCUGCUAAGCCUGUGGUCCUUACGGGCCGCGCGGGUUCAAAUCCCGCACCCCGCGCCA